ensembl:lncRNA
CGGUGGGUCCCGCCCCGCUCACCUGUGCAGGUCGGACGGCCGCGUUGCUCCCGCUCCAGUUCCACCCCAGUCCUCGGAGGAUGAACGCGCUGAGGCUGCCGGCCGAGCCCGGCAGGGAGCAUCAUUUCUUGUAUUGUCGAUGAGUAAAAGCAUGAGAAUUGAGGAAUCAUUAAGGUUGGAAAAGACCUCUAAGAUUAUCUAGUCCAACCAUCAGCCCAUUCCCACCAUGCCCACCGAACCAUGCCCUGCAGUAUUACGUCUCCAUGAUUCUUCAGCGCCUCCAGUCUCCCUACGCUGAGGCAUUUUGUCGGCGAAGCCACCACCCCUGUGGCAAUGAGUGAACUGGUCUCUGAUCACCACGGGACUGCUUUUG